rnacentral:lncRNA from 1 species
AGUCUAUCAGGCUGUUAAUUAUAUUAUCAUCUCACUCUCACUCUCUCUCUCUCUCUCUCUCUCUCUCUCACGUGCGCGCACACACACACGAUGCGCAAAACUCCGCAUUUGCACAGUCAAUAGCAAAUACUUAAACUAAUAACAAAACAUACUUACAGUAGCUGAUUCAGAAGCACCAGAUUCACACACACACACACACACACACACACACACAGACAGACAGAGCCCUACCCCUCGCUCAUUCCGCUCUCCCACUUGCUGGAAGGUGGUAGUAUGAAAAGCGCAUACUAAACUCACACAUGUGCAUCUCUGGCCAUUGACGAGAAUCAUGUGUUGUAGAUGUCGAGGUCACGUGACUGAAAUGAGGCAACUCUGAGGACACCUUGAGCUCACCUGCCACAUUUCUUUCCUUUUCUCUCUCUCUCUCUCCAGGACCAUCUGUGUUUCUCUCUCUUCCUCUGUGCUACACGCCGAAGAACAGGAUCCUACACGGAGAUCUCAUCAGGUGUUUGUCCCACUGAGAGACUCUUCAGGGUCCUGAAACCUCCUCCUAGAUACGCCACCAAUCAUCGCUGGAGUACCACCAACUAGACAGGUACCAGCCAAUCCUUGCAGCACAUCUCUAGCAUGGAUGCACACAAAUAGAAUAU